GACCGAGGGGGCAAGCGUUGCUCGGAAUCACUGGGCGUAAAGGGCGCGUAGGCGGGAUGGCAAGUCGGUCGUGAAAUCCUUCGGCUCAACCGAAGAACGUCGGCCGAUACUGCCGUUCUUGAGGGAUGCAGAGGAGAUUGGAAUUCCCGGUGUAGCGGUGAAAUGUGUAGAGAUCGGGAGGAACACCGGUGGCGAAGGCGGGUCUCUGGGCAUCUCCUGACGCUGAGGCGCGAAAGCGUGGGGAGCAAACGGG
rnacentral:rRNA from 1 species